AUUGAACGCUGGCGGCAGGCCUAACACAUGCAAGUCGAGCGGAGCGGCGGACGGGAGAGUAAUGCCUAGGAAUCUGCCUGGUAGCGGGGGACAACGUCUGGCAACGGGCGCUAAUACCGCAUACUAUCAGAUGAGCCUAGGUCGGAUUAGCUAGUUGGUGGGGUAAAGGCCUACCAAGGCGACGAUCCGUAACUGGUCUGAGAGGAUGAUCAGUCACACUGCAAAUAAGACACGGUCCCGACUCCUACGGGCAGCAGCAGUGGGGAAUAUUGGACAAUGGGCUAAAGCCUGAUUCAGCCAUGCCGCGUGUGUGAAGAAGGUCUUCGGAUUGUAAAGCACUUUAAGUUGGGAAGCGUUACCAACAGAAUAAGCACCGGCUAACUCCGUGCCAGCAGCCGCGGUAAUAC
rnacentral:rRNA from 1 species